rnacentral:rRNA from 1 species
GGGGAAUUUUGGACAAUGGGCGCAAGCCUGAUCCAGCCAUGCCGCGUGAGUGAAGAAGGCCUUCGGGUUGUAAAGCUCUUUCAGACGGAAAGAAAUCGGUGCGUUUAAUACAUGCACUGGAUGACGGUACCGUAAGAAGAAGCACCGGCUAACUACGUGCCAGCAGCCGCGGUAAUACGUAGGGUGCGAGCGUUAAUCGGAAUUACUGGGCGUAAAGCGUGCGCAGGCGGUUAUGUAAGACAGAUGUGAAAUCCCCGGGCUCAACCUGGGAACUGCGUUUGUGACUGCAUAACUAGAGUACGGCAGAGGGAGGUGGAAUUCCACGUGUAGCAGUGAAAUGCGUAGAGAUGUGGAGGAACACCGAUGGCGAAGGCAGCCUCCUGGGCCAGUACUGACGCUCAUGCACGAAAGCGUGGGGAGCAAAC